GAACAAUACUAUAGUAUUCUAUCAACACACUGCUGUUACUACUUCCUCGUACAUGACUAGAAUCUCGCAGGCGGCACAUCUCAGACGAAUCUAAGGGGUGUCAGAUUUAAGUGUUUCUAUUUUGGGUUUAAGGGUGUUGUUUAGAGUUGAACACGCUCAAGGGUAUUGUUGCUACUCUAUCUCGGCCAUUGGCUAUCCAUCGUGCUACAUCAAUGAGCUUCAACUCGAAUGUAGAACUUAUCUCCGGAAGGAUUCAAGUGACUGACAAGGACAGGGAAUCAAAAGAGAAUCUGAUGGAUUUGUACGAAAGGUGGAUGAGACACUAUGGGAAAAUCGGAACUGACAUCGACGAUAAGAAUAGACGCUUUUAAACUUUCAAAAUGAAAGUAAUGAAUAUGAAUUUGGAACGUCAUUGUAUCCUUAGUAUCUUUACUGAUGCCAGCAGGGAAGAGUAUCCUAAUUUGCUGGGAGGCAAUUCUCCAGUGUCGAAGCUCAGAGGUAAUUGAGGAAGCUUUAUCAGUUCCGUCAAUAUGCGUCUGAACAUGUUAUUUGCUUUUGUUAGUAGGAGAUUAACUGGCUUAACCACAAUAGUUUCCAUGAGGUUCUACUAGUUCUUUUUUUCCUAUUUAACUCCCAAUAGUACUCACUUUACUCUACAUAAGGUUGAUAGCGCGCACAGGCCAUUACUCUAGAUAAGGUUGAUAGCGCGCACAAGCCAUUCAGUUGAAU